GAUACCGCCCUAGUUCUAACCAUAAACGAUGCCAACCAGCGAUCCGCCUGGGUUCCUCAAAUGACUCGGCGGGCAGCUUCCGGGAAACCAAAGUGUUUGGGUUCCGGGGGAAGUAUGGUUGCAAAGCUGAAACUUAAAGGAAUUGACGGAAGGGCACCACCAGGUGUGGAGCCUGCGGCUUAAUUUGACUCAACACGGGACAACCCACCCGGUCCGGACACUGGAAGGAUUGACAGAUUAAGAGCUCUUUCUUGAUUCAGUGGGUGGUGGUGCAUGGCCGUUCUUAGUUGGUGGAGCGAUUUGUCUGGUUAAUUCCGAUAACGAACGAGACUCUAGCCUACUAAAUAGGCGUUCCGAUCUCUUGCGUCGGACGCUCUUCUUAGAGGGACAAGCGGCGUUUAGCCGCACGAGACAGAGCAAUAACAGGUCUGUGAUGCCCUUAGAUGUCCGGGGCCGCACGCGCGCUACACUGAAGGAAUCAGCGUGUGCUCUCCCUGUCCGCUAGGACUGGGUAACCCGCUGAACCUCCUUCGUGAUAGGGAUAGGGGCUUGUAAUUGUUCCCCUUGAACGAGGAAUACCCAGUAAGCGCGAGUCACUAGCUCGUGUUGAUUAUGUCCCUGCCCUUUGUACACACCGCCCGUCGCUACUACCGAU
rnacentral:rRNA from 1 species